rnacentral:rRNA from 1 species
GACAGAGGAUGCAAGCGUUAUCCGGAAUGAUUGGGCGUAAAGCGUCUGUAGGUGGCUUUUUAAGUCCGCCGUCAAAUCCCAGGGCUCAACCCUGGACAGGCGGUGGAAACUACCAAGCUGGAGUACGGUAGGGGCAGAGGGAAUUUCCGGUGGAGCGGUGAAAUGCGUAGAGAUCGGAAAGAACACCCGUGGCGAAGGCGGCACUCUGGGACGGUACUGACGCUGAGACGCGAAAGCGUGGGGAGCGAACAGG